rnacentral:tRNA from 1 species
GCCGGGAUGGCGGAACUGGUAGACGCGGUGGAUUCAAAAUCCACUGGGAGCAAUCCCUUGGGGGUUCGAGUCCCCCUCCCGGUACCA